GAUGAAGAACGUAGCGAAAUGCGAUAAGUAGUGUGAAUUGCAGAAUUCAGUGAAUCAUCGAAUCUUUGAACGCACAUUGCGCCCCUUGGUAUCCCGAGGGGCAUGCCUGUUCGAGCGUCAUUUCACCACUCAAGCCUGGCUUGGUGUUGGGCGACGUCCUCUUUGGGGACGCGCCUCGAAACGCUCGGCGGCGUGGCACCGGCUUUAAGCGUAGCAGAAUCUUUCGCUUUGGAAGUCGGGGCCCCGUCUGCCGGAAGACCUGCUCGCAAGGUUGACCUCGGAUCAGGCAGGGAUACCCGCUGAACUUAAGCAUAUCCAAUAAGCGGAGGA
rnacentral:misc_RNA from 1 species